ACGCUCGACACCUACGGGAGGCAGCAGUGGGGAAUAUUGCACAAUGGGGGAAACCCUGAUGCAGCGACGCCGCGUGAGCGAAGAAGUAUUUCGGUAUGUAAAGCUCUAUCAGCAGGGAAGAAAAUGACGGUACCUGACUAAGAAGCACCGGCUAAAUACGUGCUAGCAGCCGCGGUAAUCUGAGGCGGGCUGGCAAGGC
rnacentral:rRNA from 1 species